UACGAAGGGUGCAAGCGUUACUCGGAAUUACUGGGCGUAAAGCGUGCGUAGGUGGUUUGUUAAGUCUGUUGUGAAAGCCCCGGGCUCAACCUGGGAAUGGCAAUGGAUACUGGCAAGCUAGAGUGCGGUAGAGGGUAGUGGAAUUCCCGGUGUAGCGGUGAAAUGCGUAGAGAUCGGGAGGAACACCAGUGGCGAAGGCGGCUACCUGGACCAGCACUGACACUGAGGCACGAAAGCUAGGGGAGCAAACAGG
rnacentral:rRNA from 1 species